GACGAACGCUGGCGGCGUGCCUAAUACAUGCAAGUAGAACGCACAGUUUAUACCGUAGCUUGCUACACCAUAGACUGUGAGUUGCGAACGGGUGAGUAACGCGUAGGUAACCUGCCUGGUAGCGGGGGAUAACUAUUGGAAACGAUAGCUAAUACCGCAUAAUAUUAAUUAUUGCAUGAUAAUUAAUUGAAAGGUGCAAUUGCACCACUACCAGAUGGACCUGCGUUGUAUUAGCUAGUAGGUGAGGUAACGGCUCACCUAGGCGACGAUACAUAGCCGACCGGAGAGGGUGAUCGGCCACACUGGGACUGAGACACGGCCCAGACUCCUACGGGAGGCAGCAGUAGGGAAUCUUCGGCAAUGGACGAAAGUCUGACCGAGCAACGCCGCGUGAGUGAAGAAGGGUUUCGGAUCGUAAAGCUCUGUUGUAAGAGAAGAACGGGUGUGAGAGUGGAAAGUUCACACUGUGACGGUAUCUUACCAGAAAGGGACGGCUAACUACGUG
rnacentral:rRNA from 1 species